rnacentral:sRNA from 1 species
UACCUUAAAAGGUCCGCCAUACAAGUAC